UGGCGGACGGGUGAGUAACGCGUAGGAAUCUGCCUGAUAGUGGGGGAUAGCCCGGGGAAACCCGGAUUAAUACCGCAUACGUCCUACGGGAGAAAGUGGGGGAUCUUCGGACCUCACGCUAUCAGAUGAGCCUAGGUCGGAUUAGCUAGUUGGUAGGGUAAAGGCCUACCAAGGCUACGAUCCGUAACUGGUCUGAGAGGAUGAUCAGUCACACUGGAACUGAGACACGGCCCAGACUCC
rnacentral:rRNA from 1 species